rnacentral:rRNA from 1 species
AUUGAACGCUGGCGGCGUGCUUAACACAUGCAAGUCGAACGAAGUGGCGAACGGGUGAGUAAUACGUGGGUAACUUGCCGUCCUUUUUGGGAUAAGCCUUGGAAACGGGGUCUAAUACCGAAUAUAGGGGGAUGGGCUUGCGGUUUAUUAGCUUGUUGGUGGGUUGAUGGCCUACCAAUGCGGCGACGGGUAGCCGGGCUGAGAGGGUGACUGGCCACAUUGGGAAUGAGAGACGGCCCAGAAUCAGAAGUGAGGGAGAAGUGGGAGAAAUGGCACAAUGGGUGAAAGCCUGAUGCAGGGACGCCGAGUAGGGGAUGAAGGCUUUGGGGUUUUAAAACUGUGUCGCUAUCGAGCGGGUAGGUGGAGAAGAAGCGCCGGCUAACUACGUGCCAGCAGGCGCGGUAAUAC